GGGGCCAUGUUUCUGAGGGGCUCUGAGGUCACUUCCGGAUCCCUGAGCGGAUAUUCCGCUUAGCUGCACAAGUGGGGUGGGGCGUCCUUAAAAGGGCAAUGGCGUCUUGGCCGCUGUGAAAAUGACGUUUGAGCGCUUACAGUGUUCCAAGCACUGUUUUUAAGUGCUGUUUAAUGAUUUGCUAUUUCUCACGACAUGAACCAGAUAGUUUGUCUGAGAUCACACAAGUGGCAGAGCCUGAACCCUGUACUAUCUCCUGCAUUCAUUCUGCAAUCAGUUCAUGCAGUCUCUAUUCGCCUUGCUCUGGGACAGGCGCUGAAACGGAAAGACAAGGCCAGAUAUUACACAACGUGAUGGGGGAAGCCCAGGAGAGGUCCAGGCGGCAACAGUGAGCGAAAGACAGUGACGGGUGCUGGACUGAAAUCAAGGAGAGCGGAAUGAACAGACUUCCUAGGCUCGGUGCCUUUUCUGCCGUUUCUCCAUCACAGACCCUCUUCAUCUGCUUUUUCCCACCCGCGGCCAGAGGGAGCCCGGUUUCCACGGUCACCCGGAUCCGUCGCCCCCUGGCGGCCAUUCGGGGAACUGACCCAUGGUGUCCUCUCAAGCCUCCCCGUCUCCCGGAGGGUUAAAGAGGAGACCGAAACGGAAUCUGACGAUUCCGGUUCUACUUGGCAGUCGCCCUGGCAAGCGACCUCGAUUCACCUUGCAGAACCACGGUGACCUCAUCAGGGAGUUGCGAGGCAUGUGCUGGGUCAGUUUUUCCCCUAAACUCAACCAUUCAGCAGACUGGGAUGUUUUUUAAGAUUCUCCCCCACAGGCCAUUAAAAUUGUACAGAAAAAUGAUACGUAUGUUUAUUACAUUCCUCGAUAAAAGCUGUAACAUAAAAUGUGCUUAGA